CCUACGGGCGGCAGCAGUGAGGAAUAUUGGUCAAUGGCCGGAAGGCUGAACCAGCCAUGCCGCGUGAAGGUCAGUGCCCUAUGGGCGUUAAACUUCUUUUGUGCGGGAGCAAUAAUGGUCACGUGUGGCCAGCCGAGUGUACCGUUCGAAUAAGCAUCGACUAACUCCGUGACAGCAGCCGCGGUAAUACGGGGGAUGCAAGCGUUAUCUGGAUGUUUUGGGGUUAAGGGGGGCGUAGGCUGGUAGGUAAGUCAGCGGUGAAAUGCCCCCGCUCAACGGGGUGAAGUGCCAUUGAUACUGCCUUGGUGGAAGGCGGAUGCCGUGGGAGGAAUGUAUGGUGUAGCGGUGAAAUGCA
rnacentral:rRNA from 1 species